GGCAUUGGCCAAUGGGUUGGUGAUAUUUAUUAUCCUUUUUCCUUUUUUUUUUUUUCUUUUUCUUUUUUUCCUUUUAAUGAAAAUACAGAAGUUGGAAAUUGGAUUAUGCCAUCUUUGCACGUUUUAGAAUUGAUGGAAACCACCAUACUCUUUCCACAAGUUUGUUUCCAUCAGCCUUAGGUCCUUCGUUCUCAUUUUGGAUAAGUCUUUCUGAAAACACGACCUGUUGCAUGUGCGUUUAGGCGUUUUUACAAGUGAUAGCAUGAACUGCCGAGAUAGGUAACAACACCAGAUUUGUUUGUUUCUUUGUUUUAUUUAGGCAGGCAGAGGAAUGAGUCAUAAUUGAGGAAAAACCUGACAGUUGCUUUUGUUAAAACCAAAAUGGA
rnacentral:lncRNA from 1 species